rnacentral:rRNA from 10 species
AGAGUUUGAUCAUGGCUCAGAUUGAACGCUGGCGGCAGGCCUAACACAUGCAAGUCGAACGGUAACAGAAAGCAGCUUGCUGCUUUGCUGACGAGUGGCGGACGGGUGAGUAAUGUCUGGGAAACUGCCUGAUGGAGGGGGAUAACUACUGGAAACGGUAGCUAAUACCGCAUAACGUCGCAAGACCAAAGAGGGGGACCUUCGGGCCUCUUGCCAUCGGAUGUGCCCAGAUGGGAUUAGCUUGUUGGUGGGGUAACGGCUCACCAAGGCGACGAUCCCUAGCUGGUCUGAGAGGAUGACCAGCCACACUGGAACUGAGACACGGUCCAGACUCCUACGGGAGGCAGCAGUGGGGAAUAUUGCACAAUGGGCGCAAGCCUGAUGCAGCCAUGCCGCGUGUAUGAAGAAGGCCUUCGGGUUGUAAAGUACUUUCAGCGGGGAGGAAGGGAGUAAAGUUAAUACCUUUGCUCAUUGACGUUACCCGCAGAAGAAGCACCGGCUAACUCCGUGCCAGCAGCCGCGGUAAUACGGAGGGUGCAAGCGUUAAUCGGAAUUACUGGGCGUAAAGCGCACGCAGGCGGUUUGUUAAGUCAGAUGUGAAAUCCCCGGGCUCAACCUGGGAACUGCAUCUGAUACUGGCAAGCUUGAGUCUCGUAGAGGGGGGUAGAAUUCCAGGUGUAGCGGUGAAAUGCGUAGAGAUCUGGAGGAAUACCGGUGGCGAAGGCGGCCCCCUGGACGAAGACUGACGCUCAGGUGCGAAAGCGUGGGGAGCAAACAGGAUUAGAUACCCUGGUAGUCCACGCCGUAAACGAUGUCGACUUGGAGGUUGUGCCCUUGAGGCGUGGCUUCCGGAGCUAACGCGUUAAGUCGACCGCCUGGGGAGUACGGCCGCAAGGUUAAAACUCAAAUGAAUUGACGGGGGCCCGCACAAGCGGUGGAGCAUGUGGUUUAAUUCGAUGCAACGCGAAGAACCUUACCUGGUCUUGACAUCCACGGAAGUUUUCAGAGAUGAGAAUGUGCCUUCGGGAACCGUGAGACAGGUGCUGCAUGGCUGUCGUCAGCUCGUGUUGUGAAAUGUUGGGUUAAGUCCCGCAACGAGCGCAACCCUUAUCCUUUGUUGCCAGCGGUCCGGCCGGGAACUCAAAGGAGACUGCCAGUGAUAAACUGGAGGAAGGUGGGGAUGACGUCAAGUCAUCAUGGCCCUUACGACCAGGGCUACACACGUGCUACAAUGGCGCAUACAAAGAGAAGCGACCUCGCGAGAGCAAGCGGACCUCAUAAAGUGCGUCGUAGUCCGGAUUGGAGUCUGCAACUCGACUCCAUGAAGUCGGAAUCGCUAGUAAUCGUGGAUCAGAAUGCCACGGUGAAUACGUUCCCGGGCCUUGUACACACCGCCCGUCACACCAUGGGAGUGGGUUGCAAAAGAAGUAGGUAGCUUAACCUUCGGGAGGGCGCUUACCACUUUGUGAUUCAUGACUGGGGUGAAGUCGUAACAAGGUAACCGUAGGGGAACCUGCGGUUGGAUCACCU